rnacentral:lncRNA from 10 species
GGUAUUACAAAUAGAGCUACCAAGAACAUUCAUGUACAAGUCUUUGUGUGGACAUAUGCUUCCUUUUCUUUUAGGUAAAUACCUAGGAGUGGGAUGGCUAGACCAUAUGGAAGGUGUAUAUUUAACUUUGUACAAAACUGCCAAAAUGUUUUCCAAAGUCAUUUUACCAUUGUACAACCCCACAAGCAGUGUAUAAGAGUUUCAGCUAUUUCAAAUCCUUACAAAAGGUUGGCAUGGUCAAUCUCCUUAAUUUUGGCUAAUAUUUGCAUAGUAGUAUCUUACUGGGGUUCACAUUUGCAUUUCCUUAAAUAUUUCACGUUUUUAAGAUUUUGUAUUUUCGUAGGUUAUAAGCAACUUGAUUCUGAUGUGUCUUGGUGUAGUUUUCUUCAUGUGUUUUAUGCUUGGUGUUUUUUGAGGUUUUGGGAACUCUUAAGUUUUUAGUUUUGAUCACAUUUGGAAAAUAUUUUAGUGAUUGUUUUAUCAAAAAAAUUGUUUUCUCUUGCAUUCCCUCCAUCUUUUCUACUUCAGAAAGUUCAUUUACAUAGACAUUUGGUCACUUGAAGUUGUCCCACAGCUCUGUGAUGGUCUAUUCACUCACUGUUUUCUUCUUCAUGGUUGAGAAAGCAUUUCAUUGACACAAGGCCAUCCACACUACAUGAUAGAGAGUUAUAACUCAAAUCAGUCUCCGCAGUGGCUCAGAGGUUAGGGUUUUUCAAGGAUAGUUUGUUGGUCAGCGUACUAGGAAAUGAGUGCUGCUGAUUGGUUGGGGAUAGCAUCACAGGAGUGUGGAAAAUGGUCUUCCUAUACUGAGUUCACCUCUGGGUGGGGGGACCACAAAACCAGUUGAGUUUUGUGUCACUAGUCCAGGUGGAGUUAGCCAGUCUUUGUGUUCCAGAAAUGCAGAAGUCUGAAAAUACAUCUCAAAAGGCCAAUCUUAGGUUUUACCAUAGUGAUGUUUUCUACAAGAGUAAUUGGGGAAGUUACAAAUCUUGUGACCUCUACGACAAUAGUUGGUUAUCAUUUAACUAUGCCUACAUCUUAGCAGAAUUCAGGCCUUUCUCAUAAUCCUAACCUGGUGGCCUUUCAUUAGGUUUACAAAAGUGGUUAGUUUUAGAAAGGGCUAUCAUCAUCUCUGCUUUAAGAUUAAACUAUAAACUAAAUUCUUCCCGAAGUUAGCUUUGCCUACAUCAAGGAAUGACUAAGGACAAUUUAGAGGUUAGAAACAAGAUGGAGUCAACCAUGUCAGAUUUCUUUCACUGUCAUAAUCUUUGCAAAGGCAAUUUCAAUCCCUGCUUGGGUUUCAGUACACUUUAAUCCUUAGUUGUGUGUUAUGUUGAUAGGGAAAGGCAGAUGGUUGCUCUAACUUCUUCCUGCUGACAGGGGGCAUAUUUGGGAUAGGGGUUAUCCCCAGAGUGAGAGGAAGAAAACUGUUUUGCCGUUGUUUGUAUGUAUUCGUGGUGCCUGGCGGGGUUCCCAAGGUCUGUAUGACAAAGACAUUAGUACUUUUAUCCACAGCUAUAACACAACACUUAAGUGAACAAUGGACUAUAAGACAAAUAAUGAGCCCUAGCAUAAGGAGUGAAAGUUCUAGCUUCAAGAGUCCUUAUAGAACUAACUGAAGCCUUCACUUUUUUUGAUUUCCUUUUUUUCUGUGUUUCAUUUUGGGUGAUUUUCAUUGCUAUGUCUUCAUAUAUCCUAACCUUUUCUUCUUUAAUGUGUAUUCUGCCAUUAAUCUCAUCCAGUGUGGUUUUCAUCUCAGGCAUUGUAGUUUUCAUCUCUAGAGUUAUAUUUGGGUCUUUUUGUAUCUUAUAUAUCUAUGCUUAACAUACUCAUUCUUCCCCCUAGCUUCCUGAGCAUAUGAAAUGCUGUUAUAAUUACCUUCCUAAUAUCCUCAUUUGGUCAUUUUAAUGUGGGUGUCAAUUCCAUUUCCAUUUCAAGUGAUUAAUUUUUCUCCUUAUUAUGGAUGAUGUUUUCUUGCCUCUUUGUAUGUAUGGUAAUUUUAAAUUAUACAUCAGGAAUUAUGGAUUUGAUUUUGUUGGGUGCAGGAUAUUUGAGUAUCUUUACACAUAUUUUUGAGCCUUGUUUGGGUUGUGGUUAAAUUCAUUUUGUUCUUGCUUUUAGCAUUUGUUGAGCUUGCUUAGAGCAGAGUUCAGUCUAUGGCUGAUUAUUCACCAGUAUUAAAGAAGACCCUUCUGAUUACUCUACCCCAGGCUCCAUGAAUUAUGAGUUUUUUCAGUCUGCCUGGUGGAAAUACACACUAUUCCCAGCCCCAUGUGAGCUCUAACUACUGUUCUCACUCACCUUUUCAAGUAGCUCUUUCCUUUGCCUCUGGUAGUUUCUUCAGAAGCAUGUGCUGAUCAGUACUCAGCUGAAUAUUCACAGCAGAGGGUACUCUACGUAUCUCUAGAGUUCUUUCUCUGUGCUGUCUACUUCCUGGUACUAUCUUGUGUAUGCUAGCCACUGUGGUCUCCCCAGACUCACAGCUUUGUCUCCUUAACACAAGGAUUCUGCUGAGCUGCACUUAGGUUCUCCCUUUCUACACUGAAACCUGGAAGCACUUUUAAGUCAGUAAAACUGGGUUAAUUGUAGGACUCACCUCAUUAGUUUCCCAUCUCUUAGAGGUUUCUGGUUUGGGGUUUUUGUUUGUUUGUUAGUUUGUUUUCCCUAAUGUUCAGUAUCCUGAAAAGUUAUUGUUUUAUAUAUAUUUUUUUCUAUUUCUUAUGUUACUAUAUCAGAGAAGAGAGUAAAUUUGUUUUCUAUUCCUCCAACUUUGAUGAGAACAUUGCAAGAUUUUAAGGAGGAAAUAACCUGAUGGAUUUAGAGAAGCAUCCAGCCUACAGUAUGGAGAAUGCUGAGCUCUAGGCAGAGAGAGACAAAUGAGAAAGCUGCCGGCCAUCAACCAGGGCACUGAAAUUCCCAGCUCCAACCAAGAUUCUGGACUUCAGACUCGGCCACGUGAUGAGGGGAUAGAAGAGCGGCAACCUUCUGGCAUCUCUGUGGAUUUGGGCAAUUAUCAAACCUAGACGUGGACUUACUAUGCUGCCCAGGCUGAUCUCGAACUCCUGGCCUCAAGCUAUCCUCCUGCCUCGGUCUCCCAAAAUGCUGGGAUUACAGAUAUAAACCACUGUGCCUGACCUGAAUGUAUAUCUUUGUAAUAUCCACCCUUUUGUUCUAGUUGCCUCUAAGUAAGAAUGAUACAGAUAAUUAUUUUUUAGAAACUCAUAUCAUGUUCCUGUUAAUUUUUGUUUGUUCCAUGUUGACCAUCCUAAGUUUCCUCAAAUAUUUCUCAUAUUUUUAAGUUGUUUUUUUACCUUUUAAAUGUAAGAUGAGGUUUCUCCACCUGAAUAUAAUAGUCUUUAAGUGGUCUGAUGAUAGUGGCGAGCAAUGGAAAAAAUGGGACUUUUGCCUUCCACUCAAAUUAUGUGCUUCUGCAAUUGCAGCCUAAUAGCGAAUUGAUGUCUAUUAACUUCUUUCAGUAUCCAAUCACAAAUGUUUGCUCAUACUGAGCUUAUAGUUUAAAUAUCUGCUAUCAGGUUAGGUCUUACCUAAGUGCAGUAUCUGAGUAUAUUUUUAACCUUGAUUAUAGGUCCCCAUGUUUAUCUUAAAUAUCGUCUUGAUUGGUUUUUAUAAAAUCUAGUAUUUAUUCCUUUCAUACUUAUUCAGACCCAAGUAUGAUACAUUUAUUAUAAUAUAAUUCACAAUAUAUUAAACAGAGUAAGAAAGUUGCUCUGACUCACCAAACUGUAUAAUAAAUAUGACUUUAAAGAAUUUAUUGAUAAUAGAAAGUGCUGUUCAUUGCAGCACUGUUCACAAUAGCAAAGACUUGCAACCAACCCAAAUGCCCAUCAAUGAUAGACUGGAUACAGAAAAUGCAGCACAUAUACAACUUGGAAUACUAGGCAGCCAUAAAAAGGGAUGAGUUCAUGACCCUUGCAGGGACAUAGAUGAAGCUGGAAACCAUCAUUCUCAGCAAACUAACACAGGAACAGAAAACCAAACACCGCAUGUUCUCAUUCAUAAAUGGGAGUGGAACAGUGAGAACACGUGGACACAGGAAGGGGAACAUCACACAGUGGGGCCUGUCAGGGAGUGAGGGGAUAGGUGAGGGAUAGCAUUAGGAGAAAUACUUAAUGUAGACGAUGGGUUGAUGGGUGCAGCAAACCACCAUGGCAUGUGUAUACCUAGGUAACAAAGCUGCACGUUCUGCACAUGUAUCCCAGAGCUUAAAGUAUAAUUAAAAAAAUAUAUAUAUAAAUCUAAAAAAAGAAUAUUGUCAAAUUAGUACUUACAUUGUUGUCUUUUAUAGUAUGAGGAACUUAUGAAGAAUUUUCUUCUGUUCCUUUCAAUUAUGCUUUAGUGCAGAAUUUAAAAAGCUAUCUGUAUUUUGUACGGUAUAGUCCUUAUUUUCCUCUCUCAUUAUCACAGGUAUUAAACUUGAGUUAAUGUUAAAAAAAGAAUUUGUUGAUAAUCUUCUAGAUAAAAAAAUUAAAGAUAGGUGGAACAUAAAAUAUCCUUAUACUGAGAUAUAUCUGUUAAUUUUCUUACACAUAAGUUGACUUGACUGUAAAGAUUCAAUAGACAUACAGGAUGAUUAUUGAACAGAAUUAUACUUGAUUUAUUGUGAUUCAGAUAAAAACAUUGGAAUAUUGUAUUCUUCGAACAACAUCUGACAAUCCCUCCCCACCCCUGACUCCUGGUAACCACCAUUCCAUUCUAUUUCUAUGAGUUCACCUUUUUUACACUCAGUGUAUGAGAGACAUCAUGCAGUAUUUGUCCAUCUGUGCCUGGUUUAUUUCACUUAGCAUAAUGUCCUCCAGGUUCUUUCAUGUUGUUCCAUAGGACAGGAUUUCCUUUUUAAGGCUGAAUAGUAUUCCAUUGUGUAUAUAUAACACAUUUUUUUAAAUCCAUUAAUCUGUUGAUAAGAGAAAUAACUUGAAGAAAUCUAUUACAUAACAGGUUGGCCAUAGCUGAUAACAAUGUACUGCAUUAUUGAAAAUUGCUAAGAGAAUAGAUUUUAAGUGUUCUCACCACAGAAAUGAUAUGUAAAGUAAUACCUAUUUUAACUAACCUGAAAUAACCAUUUCACAGUGUAUAAAUUUUCAAAACA